CCUACGGGUGGCAGCAGUGAGGAAUAUUGGUCAAUGGGCGAGAGCCUGAACCAGCCAAGUCGCGUGAGGGAGUACUGCCCUAUGGGUUGUAAACCUCUUUUGUCGGGGAGCAAAAGCCGGACGUUUCCGGCUGUGAGAGUACCCGAAGAAAAAGCAUCGGCUAACUCCGUGCCAGCAGCCGCGGUAAUACGGAGGAUACGAGCGUUAUCCGGAGUUAUUGGGUUUAAAGGGUGCGCAGGCGGAUUUUUAAGUCAGCGGUAAAAUCGUGGGGCUCAACCCCAUCCAGCCGUUGAAACUGGGGAUCUAGAGUGUGCGAGAGGUAUGCGGAAUGCGUGGUGUAGCGGUGAAAUGCAUAGAUAUCACGCAGAACCCCGAUUGCGAAGGCAGCAUACCGGUGCACAACUGACGCUCAGGCACGAAAGCGUGGGUAUCGAACAGGAUUAGAUACCCCUGUAGUC
rnacentral:rRNA from 1 species